CCUACGGGAGGCAGCAGUAGGGAAUCUUCCGCAAUGGACGAAAGUCUGACGGAGCAACGCCGCGUGAACGAAGAAGGCCUUCGGGUCGUAAAGUUCUGUUGUUAGGGAAGAACAAGUACCAGAGUAACUGCUGGUACCUUGACGGUACCUAACCAGAAAGCCACGGCUAACUACGUGCCAGCAGCCGCGGUAAUACGUAGGUGGCAAGCGUUGUCCGGAAUUAUUGGGCGUAAAGCGCGCGCAGGUGGUUCCUUAAGUCUGAUGUGAAAGCCCCCGGCUCAACCGGGGAGGGUCAUUGGAAACUGGGGAACUUGAGUGCAGAAGAGGAGAGCGGAAUUCCACGUGUAGCGGUGAAAUGCGUAGAGAUGUGGAGGAACACCAGUGGCGAAGGCGGCUCUCUGGUCUGUAACUGACGCUGAGGCGCGAAAGCGUGGGGAGCGAACAGGAUUAGAUACCCUGGUAGUCCACGCCGUAAACGAUGAGUGCUAAGUGUUAGAGGGUUUCCGCCCUUUAGUGCUGCAGCAAACGCAUUAAGCACUCCGCCUGGGGAGUACGGCCGCAAGGCUGAAACUCAAAGGAAUUGACGG
rnacentral:rRNA from 1 species